UACGAAGGGGGCUAGCGUUGCUCGGAAUUACUGGGCGUAAAGCGCACGUAGGUGGCGAUUCAAGUUAGAUGUGAAAGGCCCGGGCUCAACCCGGGAACUGCAUUUGAUACUGAAUUGCUAGAGUCCAAGAGAGGGUAGUGGAAUUCCCAGUGUAGAGGUGAAAUUCGUAGAUAUUGGGAAGAACACCAGUGGCGAAGGCGGCUACCUGGCUUGGUACUGACACUGAGGUGCGAAAGCGUGGGGAGCGAACAGG
rnacentral:rRNA from 1 species